rnacentral:rRNA from 1 species
UACGGGGGGGGCAAGCGUUGUUCGGAAUUACUGGGCGUAAAGGGCUCGUAGGCGGCCAACUAAGUCAUACGUGAAAUCCCUCGGCUUAACCGGGGAACUGCGUCUGAUACUGGAUGGCUUGAGUUCGGGAGAGGGAUGCGGAAUUCCAGGUGUAGCGGUGAAAUGCGUAGAUAUCGGAAGGAACAUCAGUGGCGAAAGCGACUUCCUGGACCAAUACUGACGCUCAUGUGCGAAAGCGUGGGGAGCAAACAGG